rnacentral:rRNA from 1 species
UACGAAGGGGGCUAGCGUUAUUCGGAUUCACUGGGCGUAAAGGGUGCGCAGGCGGCCAAGUGUGUUAGGCGUGAAAGCCUGAGGCUUAACCUCAGAAUUGCACCUAAAACUACAUGGCUAGAGCAUUGGAGAGGGUAGCGGAAUUCACGGUGUAGCAGUGAAAUGCGUAGAUAUCGUGAGGAACACCAGAGGCGAAGGCGGCUACCUGGACAAUUGCUGACGCUCAGGCACGAAAGCGUGGGGAGCAAAAGGG